GGGCCAGGCACUUUGACCUCAUGAAGUUGGCCUUGUCUCCCAAUUCGUGCAUUUUAGGAGCAACGUCACUUCCUUACUCUGAGAUCUCUCUGGUACUACUUUUUGUCAUUUCUCUCUGCUUCUUCUUAAACUCAGUUUUUUGAACCCGGAAUCAACAACAUCAAAAAUUCCUAGAUUUUACUGUAUUUUUUUGCUGUGGGAAAUUGUCUGACACUCAGUCAAAACACAGGUAUUUACUGAGGACCGGCUGGCUGCUGGUCAGCACUGGAUGAGAGGUUCUGCAGGAUUACACACGAACAGCACAUCACAGUUCCUAACAUGAAUGAACGUAUAAGCUAUUUGGAAAGAAAAGAUGAUAGAGAACAACAGAAGAUGUUCUGUAAUGGAUGGAUAAAACGUAUCACUGGCUCCAGUACAGGUAGACCCCAGAGAUGAAGUUUGAGGCUAGAAGUGGCAAAAGACCAUUGUGGGCAAGAUCCAGGGUUGGCGUUUGGCAUUGUGUGCAUAAUGGGGGCAAAAAAAGGCAGUCCUGUGUGGUUGACCCUGUGGCCAAGGCUGAGAGAGAUGAUUUGUAUGAUCAAGAGAGGCUGAUGGACUAUGUGAAGUGUACAUCUUAUCUCAAUCACCCAACACCUUAUAUUGAAAGUGAGGAUAUCACACAAGUAAAUUUUGUUUGUGUUUAUAUAACUUGGCACUUAUGUUUUCAAUAUCAUGUUGUAAAAUAAAUGUCUUUAAAAUUAGACUAAUUACCGCCACCCUCCAGUCAUCAGCACAGCUUCUGCUGUGGAGAUGUGCAAGUUGGGAAAUAAACGAAACAUCAUUAUGUCCAUA
rnacentral:sRNA from 1 species